GCUCCCAUUUCGUGCGCUGCAGGGUCUUAUCUGAAAAAAACCCGCACAUUUACCUCCCCUCCCCUCGUGAUCUUCUCUCUCUCUUCUCCACAAAACUCUCUCGCGUUCCCCAGAGAUCCCCAAAUCGAUCUCAUCUCCCCCGUCCUCCUCCCAAAUCGCAACCAUCAUCGAUUUCUCAUUCGCCGCUAGACUACGAUCUCCGCGAGAUCAGAUCGGCCAAGCCCUCUUCGAUUUCACCGCGCGUGACCAAGGUCUCCGCCGCGAGAUCCCUCCGACCGCCUCCGCCGCGAGAUCCUCCGACCCGCCGCCCGAUUCGAAGUCAGAGGAAAAAAGGCAGUAGCGGCUAAGGAGGAGGAGGAGCUCGAAUCUACUGCUGAAAGAGGAGUAGUAGCUCGAAUCAGGGUUUUUAGGGGAGAGGAUGAGGCGGCGAGAGCUCCGACGACGACGAUGAGAGGAGGGCGGCGCUGGUUUUGGCGAGAGAGAGGGCAGGUAAUAAAUCAAGGUCUCGAUUUAUUAGUAAUUAAGAAAAAAUCAAGAAAAAUAGACAUAAAAAGGAGAUCACCAAACUGCAUGUUUCUUGUAACUUAUUUUUCUUUAAUUUCUUUUUAAUUUCGCUACUUCGAUCACUAAUAUUGUUUCACCGUGAGUUACUUGAAUCCUUACCAAAUUAAGCUUUCUUUAAUAAUUAUACUAUGAAAGUUAGAUUUCAAGAUCCGUGCAUGCUUAAUCUACUUGAAUCAUCAGCACCCUUUUCUUCGUUAAUUUUCUGCCAUUUCAGUGAAUUUAACUACAAAUUAAGAGAAGCGCUUAUAAGUAUACAUAAUUUCCCUUGAAAGAAAAAAUAUAAAGAGAAGCGCUAUAUAUGACAAAA